GCAAACUUGGUCAUUUAGAGGAAGUAAAAGUCGUAACAAGGUUUCCGUAGGUGAACCUGCGGAAGGAUCAUUAUUGAGACUAUCUCUUUAACAACCCUAUGCUGUUUGAUCUUCUUUGGUUGCUUUGGUGGCUGGACUUGUGCCUGCCACCAGGGGGUUUUGAAAGAAUACUCUGUGUGUGUGGUUUUUGCAUGCUGCCAAUUUUGGUUUGACAAAUGGGAUAUAAAACUUUUAACAAUGGAUCUCUUGGUUCUGGCAUCGAUGAAGAACGCAGC
rnacentral:misc_RNA from 1 species